rnacentral:rRNA from 1 species
UAGGGAAUAUUGGGCAAUGGAGGCAACUCUGACCCAGCCAUGCCGCGUGCAGGAAGACGGUUCUCAGAAUUGUAAACUGCUUUUGAAUGGGAAGAAUGUGUGGCUUGCGAGCUAUAAUGACGGUACCAUUAGAAUAAGCACCGGCUAACUCCGUGCCAGCAGCCGCGGUAAUACGGAGGGUGCAAGCGUUAUCCGGAUUUAUUGGGUUUAAAGGGUGCGUAGGCGGCUUAAUAAGUCAGUGGUAAAAGGUAGUCGCUUAACGAUUUUACAAGCCAUUGAUACUGUUAAGCUUGAGUAAUUUGGAGGUAGCUAGAAUUCCCUGUGUAGCGGUGAAAUGCAUAGAUACGGGGAGGAAUACCGAUUGCGAAGGCAUGUUACUACGAAUUAACUGACGCUGAGGCACGAAAGCGUGGGGAUCAAACA